rnacentral:lncRNA from 1 species
GUAAGUCUGUGACAUUAUCCCCACAUCACAGUUGGGAGCACUGAGGCUGAGGAGCAGUGAUCUGAUGAAUUUAUGGGUAAGGCAAGAUUUAAAUCCCCCCAUCACCUAUUUUUCCCCCCUAACUGGGGCUUGCUGUCAAAGUUGUAAGAGGCUGUUGUUGGCUUGUAAUUAUCAUGCCAACAGCAACACUGUGAAAAUCCCAGCAAAAGCUUCACAGAAGGGCAGGCAAAAUGAUCAAAGAGUCAGAGAAACUCCCCUGUGAAGAAAGGCUGCAAUGUCUGGAACUUUUUGGUAUAAAGCAGAGGUGAGUAAGAGGUGACACGAUAGAACUUUAUAAAAUGUAGCUGGAUGUUGGAAGAUUCAGUGCAGACAAAAGAAAGUACUUCUACGCACAGAGCUUAGUUACGGUAAACUAUGGAACUUGCUCUCACAGAAGACACUGAUGGCCACCUACCUGGGUGGCUUUUAAAGAGGAUUAGAGAAAUUCAUGGAGGAGGGCUACUGACAGCUUUGCUCUGCUUCCACGGUCAAGCUACCAGUUGAUAGAAACCACAGGAGAGGAGAGGGCUCUUGCGUUUGGGUCCUGAAUGGGGUUUCCCCAUAGGUACCUGUUUGGCCACUGUGAGAGCAGGAUGCUGGACUAUUGGCCUGAUCCAGCAUGACUCUUCCUAAUUUCUGUUGUGUUUUGAAUGGACAAUAUUUUCAUAUAUUUCUGAAUGGAUGAAAAGUCAGGGGAAAGUCUUCCAUGUGAAACAGUCUCCUAUACUAAAAAAAACCAACUUUUAAAACUAUGCGGAAUCAGCUCUUUGUGCAAAAUGUGCCCUAGGUCUUGUAUGGAUUAAUGUGUUUCACUUUUUCAACCUGAAACCCCAAUUCUGAUAAGACCUGCAGGGCUGCCUGGAUGAUCUUCUUUCUUUUCUUUUCUAAAAAUUGUAUAAUCCUUAACAUGCACCUCACAGUGAUUUUACUGACUGAUAGAAUAUUGUACUUCACAGUGACAGCUUGACAUUUUGCCUUAUUUGUACAGAUGAAAAUCUCCCAAACUUCCAUUUGAUAAUUCACUUUUUCAUAGAACCCACCUUUCCCCCAGCUGCAUCUUGCUUCCUCAAACACAAAAUAUACAGAUCAAGAAAGUCUUCGUCUUUCUUCUUCACCACUAGACACCAUUCAAGCAUGUGACACCCCUCCCCCAUCUAAAGUGAUGCAAUCGAGAAAGGGUGGUCACCCACACUCAGUGAAUAUCUGGAGCUGUUAAACGUGAUAGCUAUGUUCUAAUUCCACUGUUGGAGGCAAUAUGCCUCUGGAUACCAGUUGCGGGGAAUCACAAGUUGAAAGAGAAGUGUAGAACUCAGGUCCUGCUUUAAAAGAGGAUUAGACAAAUUCAUGAAGGGUGAGGCUGGCAGUGGCCACUAGCCUCAGCGGCUACAUUCUAUCUUCACUGCCCAGGUAGGAAGUCUCUGAGUGCCAGUUGGUGAAAACCACAGGAGGAGACAAUGCUCUUGUGCUUAUGUCCUGCUUGCUAGUUUCCCUGAGGGAUCUGGUUGGCCAUGGUGAUGCUGGACUAGAUGGGCCAUUCUCCUGAUCCAGCAGGGAUAUUCUAAUGUUCUUAACUUCAGGACUGAGCUGAGAUCAGAACCCAGAUACUAAUUAUACUGAUAUUUCAAGCACUAGGCACUGCCCAUAGAAUAAGUAAACAUACACAUCUUUGUCCAUGGGCUUCCCAUUGAAAGUAAAAAUAACAUUCAAGGAGGGAAGAGAGCGAAGAAGACUAAAGCCUUUGUCAAAAUCACCCUUCCUGAGCAGAUCAGCUUGACAGAGGCCAUUUCUAACAGACAGUCUUCCAUCAGACCUCUGCAUUGGCAAUUAGGCUUCCCCAAGCUUGAAUCUCUUGGGGAAAUAGUUUAGCUGAGUCCUUUUGCUUCCCUGGCUGGGAGAUUGACACUCCUCCGCCAGAUGUCCAUUUCUGACUGCACAAUAUCGUUCCCACAAAUGAAGCAGAAGCUGGAUGUUCAUUCUGACUCUCCACUUAAUGGUGAAAUAUCUUCUUCUGGUGUGGCAUGAUGAGGGGCAGUGGGGAGCAGGAGCAGGAAGAGGUGCCAAGCAUCUGGUCACUGUUCAUCUUCUCUGAUGCUGUGCCACUGAGAGGAGAAUGAAAUGAAAAGGACCAUGAUGCACCAUUACACAUCAGCUCAUCUUGCAAGCCAGACAUUUGAAGUGCUAUGAUGUCACUUUAAACUGUCAUGGCUUCCUUCAAAUAAUUGUGGGAGCUGUAGUUUGUCAAGGGUGCUGAGAGUUGUAACAGUACCCCAUUCCACCUCCCAGAACUACAAUUCUCAGCAUUCCCUGAUUAUUCAAUAGGGUUGCCAUAUUUCAAAAAGUGAAAAAUCUUAACAACAAAAAGAAGUUUUUGAGCUAUUUUUAAGGAAAUUCUCCAAGAUAUACGUUUCCAAUGUGGGUUGCUAUACGGGUGGAUUUUCCCAGACAUUCCAGCGAUUUCUGCCCAGACACUGUUUCCGAUGGCCGAAUCCCAUCUAUGUCCGGAAAAUUCCAGACGUAUGGCAGCCCUAUAACCACUCUGGCAAUAAAGAGAAGAAGUCCCCCCUAGCAGCUCCCAGAAUUCUUUGGGGGAACUCAUUACAGCUGGAAGUGGUAGCAUAGUGCUUAGAAGGUACAGGGUAAAAGUGGCCUUUGUUUGUCUGAAGUGCAAAUUCAGAGCACAGCAAAAUGCUUCAGAGAACCAAGGAGGUUUAUUUGUUUAUUUGUUUUUGUUUUUAAAAAAGCUCUGAAAUUCACCAUUCCAUGAUAGCAACACCCUUUGAACUGAUAGCCAUGGAAGGCAAAAUCCUAUUGGUUGGAACAAUUUGGAUAGACCAGACAGCUGUUAAAACUGCCUGGAUGCAUAUUGCCUUUGUUGCCAGCCUCCAAGGAUGAAAAAGAGAGGUGUUUUGCGAUGCGGGUAGUUUGCAGUGCAUGUCAGGCCACCCUCCAGUUCCUGAUCCUUUGUUGUAUAUGCUGCCAUGUGCAUUUAAGAUGCAGAGAACGCAGUUGGCUGUUAGUCCAGGUGGGCCAGGCUGGUGUCACAGUUCAGGCUAACAAACAAGGAUCAGAGGCAGGUAUGAAGUCAAAUGUCAAGUCAUCAUCCAAGGUAAAGGAAAAUAGUAUCUUCACACCAGAGUCAAAUUGCUUGGGCUGAAGAGAAAGCUUUUAAAGUAAGACUUUUCUGGGCCUCGUAGAUAGGGAUUGGCCCAUGGAGUCAGCUGACUAAUGCUAGAUGGAAGUCCUGGUUCAACUUCUAUCCUGUACUCAUGUCUCACAAAGACAUCCCGUUAACCCUGAACAAACAGCAGCCAUGUUGGCUGGGUACCUAUAUAUCCCUCAGUCUUAAAGAUCCCCUGGGUGCUUCUAAGUUAGAUGGGGAUGGUUAUCACUUGGUGCCUUCCUCAAAACACCCCCUUACUGCUCUGAUUCCUAAGGACAAGAGUCUUCUUUGUACCAGAACUGCUGGUGGCUAAGACACAGUGAACGUUUAAUGAAAGGAUAUUAACCACUGCCUGUUGACGAUCAGGGUGAGAGUUUGAUACUGGCAGGCAAUUAGGGAUGAAACAUUUCUCCAAGCACUCAGAAUCUGACGCUGCUUCAAUCAGGAUUUAGGUUGGUCAGAAAGCAGCCAUAAAGCAAAACCCUCCAUGACAAAAAGCGGAAACAAAUUAACACAGACUGUCAAGACUGCUUCAUCCCUUUGAUUUGGGGAUGGUCCUUUGAGGGGAAGAGAGCAGAGGCAGUGCUUCAGAGUAGAGAACUGUCUUUUCGACUUCCGGGGUGGCGCCAUCGGCAAUGGCGGACUCCCUCUGAACUGGAGGGACUAGCUCUGUGUGAAACGGGUCUUUUCUGCUACGGCGAAGCAGGGACCCUGCUAAAAAUCACAGGCGGAUGAAGCCUGUGACCAUGGGACUCGGCGGGCACCCUUAGUGCCCCCCCAACCCGCAAAGGAACCCACUAACGCGCUCCAAAGUGAAGAGGGGGAAGUGGCGCGGUGCUGUGAGUCAACUGCUAUUUCCGUGGAGCGAAGCCGCAUAGCCGUUGCCGGAGAGCGCUGCCUUUUCCUGGGACAAUUUGGCUUCUAAAAUAAGCACCCGUGAGUACUUAAAAUUUGAACAAUCGGACUUUAAAUAAGGACUUGCGUGCAGAAAGGAAUUGGACUUAAAAAUUUACUUCAAUUUGGUACUGAAACGGGAAGGUCUAAACAGGAAGUCAGCCUUCCGUUUAUUUGUAGACAGAAUAAAGCAAAGACAACGUAAACUAGAGCUCAGAAAAUCGCCUCUAAAGGAUUGGAUUUCAUCAUUUAAAAUUGUGGAACCCCCCUUCGACAGCAGGAGAAGGAGGGGGAUCUUUUCCAGACUGUUUAAACCUGCAGAAGUGAGUUUAAAGUAAAGUAACUUUCCACCGUCCUGAUCCUGGAGCGGGGUGUCAGGACUGACGUUUGAAGCUCAUUGACCAGAGACAAACGUUUUUGACAGAUAGUUAAAGGAAGAGAAACAUAGUGAUUCCACUGUUUCCUUUCGCAUUUUAAGGAACAAAUAUUGACAAAAUAUCUCAAAAAGGAUACUUUGUUGCAAGAACAAAUAGAAGUUCUCCCCCUAGAGGGAGACUGUGAAACUGUAACUAAUUCCAGGGAGCUUGCAGCUGUCACAGAUUACAAUCGUGGGAAUGGACUUGUGACCUUGUAGGACAAUGUAUUCAGAGGCUCUGUUGUGUGCUCUCUGGAAAACAAGUGCCCUACUGGAACAGUUAAAUGAGAAGAUGGAUUUGAUGACUAAUGCGGCCAGAAUUUUUGAACAGGCAGUGGGAAACUAUGUGGAGCCCACCCAGGAAUUAGAACAGGAGUGCGUCCUGACAGAGCAGAUGAGAGAAGAGGAUGUUGCUGAAUCUUGGGCGCCAGAGAUGGAGGGAGCUGCAGCCUUGCAGGAGCAUGAGCUUUUGGACUUGACAAAUGAACUUGGAAAAAGCCAGAUUUGGAAAGAUAAAGUUUGGAUUGGUUUGGAAAUGGGGGGUUGGAUAGACCCCCUACGCAGGGAUGUUUGGACUUUCCGAGUCUGGCAAUGGACCAUGAGAUGUUUGGAGCUGUGGGGGCUCUCAAUUUUGGAGGGAUUCUGAAACGUUUUUAAAUACCACAUGGAGUUGAGUCUGGACUAUGGAAAAGGGGCUGAUUUGCUGAAAAGGGUCAAAAACAUCAGCAAGCUGGAGUUCCCACGAGUGAAAGGAGAAUAUGAAGAAGAGCUGCGGAAGGGACAUGGAAGAGAUUUAAGGGCCUCGGAUAUAAGGUUACCAGGUUAAUGCGCUAGAUCGAUGGGAUAAAAAGGACUGACAAAACCCGGGACCAGGAGGAAGGGACGCUGGAGGAAGACUUGAUUAUUUUUAUCUCUUUUUUUUAUUACCAGGAUUGUUUUAUAAAAUUGAUGAAUGUUAGAAAAAUGCUGGAAUGAAAUUACUUGGCUCUAGUAAAAAUGUUUAAAGAAUUAGGUAAGAAUAUUAUGGUUGUGAGAAGUCGGUAAAAAUAAGAUUUAAGUUUUAAGUUUUUAAGGUUUUCUAUAAGAUAAGAUGAAAAUAGAUUAAGGUAAUGUAAUGACAGAAUAUUAUGAAAUAUGGAAAGGAUUUGCUGCGAUAAUUAUUAACUAGGAUACAAAAAAAGGGAGGCGGAGGAGGUCAAAGAAAGAAGGUAAUGAAAGUUGAGGAUUUGAGAAUGGUGGAGUUAUUAUUGUCUGUCUGCAGCGUAUUUUUGUUUUUUGAAUUUGUAUUGUUUGAUGUGGUUUGUUUUUUCUUUGUUUCUUUUUUCCCCUUUUUUCUCCUUUUCUGCUUUAUUUUUUCUCUGUAAUUUAUUUUUUUUCCCAAUAAAUAUCAUUAAAAAAGAAGAAGAGAGAACUGUCUUUUCCUGGUGUAUCAACCAAGGAGUCAACCUCAGGGGAACUGGAUUAACUGGAAGUGGGCCAGGCAUCCUUUUAGGUGUGGUAGGACACAGUGCUAUGUUGGAAGCAAUAAGUGAGGUUUGGCUCAGCAUAUUGUCAGGGGGUCAGCAGUCAGAUGCUGGAGCAGGUGGUCAAGAGGCGGGGAGCAAGAAUGGGCAUCAUUCUUCCACUUCCCAGGACUAUAUUCAUCCCCUGCAAAGGUAAGAGAAAAAUGGUAUGUCUGUGUAGGUGUCAGGAGCCCUGAGUGGGAGGGAGGAAGGACUGGCUGGAAGGAAGGCACUCUUGCACAACCCUACGAAUUAUUGCCAGGGCACCGGAAGAGAACACGUUCUGGUGAUUGUCAGCAGGGUUGCACCAGAGCACCUUUUGGUUCAGUGCUCUGGCACGAUCCUGUUGACUUGCACCAGAGUGAGUGAUGCUCUGGACUCACAUCAGAGCACUGGACCAAGAAAUGGGAUAUUAUGGGAACCAAACAGAAGCCGGAAUUGGUUUCUGUGAUCUGGGAUGUCCUGCUUAAAAUGGGACACUUGUGGGGUAUGUCCUCCAUGAAUUUGUUUAAUCCUCUUUCAAAGCAAUCUAGGUUGGUAGCUAUCUCUGCUUCCUGUGGGGGUGAGUUCCAUAGUUAACAAAUAAUAAUAUUACUAAACAACAGGAAGACUCUGUUUCUCACCCGCUUGGGUGGGGUGGGGAAAAAGGAAGGAAGACACAAGCUCUUUGAUCUAAGUCCUGCUCCCUUCCACAUUUUGUAGUAAAGCAGGCUAGGGAGGCUCUGGACAAUGGCCUCCAAUCUCAGGUGGAUUAUUAGCCCCAGUAAUGAAGAGCAUAGCUCAUGUGAAGGACAAGGCGUUUUCAAAACCCAUUAAUUUUACUCAUAAUGGGGAAUUAAUGUGCAGAAAGGCAAUGCCAGCCCAACAGUAAUUGCUUUUUUCAGAAGGUUUGGAACAGUCAGGAAGUAAAACUCAUUUUCAGGCAAUGCUUUCUUCCCACCCCCAACUCCCUUUCUAUCUUUCAGAAGAAUUGAAUUUUUUUUUAAAAAAAUGCUGCUGCUUUUUCUUCAUUAUGGGUUGUUAUAUUUCAUCAUUACAAGACUUUCAUAUUUCAGCGUUUUCUCAUUACAUUUUUAUAAUUCCCCCUCUCAAUAUUAACAUAUAGGGGCAGAGCUGACGAGUCAGACUCAACAGGCUGCGGCCUAUAUUAAUGUUUCAGUGUGUGGUGGAGUUAAUUAGUGGCCAUAAUUCUCAGUGCUUCUGACCUUUGAGCAGGUGGCAGAAAUCUGUUUUUGGUCCACCACUUCUGGAUUACAUGUCCGCCUUCCUGUCAAUGAGGCCUCCCUUUGGUAACAUGGCUAAUGCAUUCUGAAAUUCCAAAAGCAUCCAUUGUGAUGUCAUCAGAUUGCAAAUAGAUUCCACACACCCCAAACCCAUUUCCACAAUGAUUUUUUUUGCUGAAAUACCCUUGUGUAAGAACAUAAGAAGAGCUCUGCUGGUUCUGGCCAAUGGCCCAUCUAGCCUAGUAUCCUGUUCUCACCAUGACCAGCCAGAUUCCUGUGGGAAACCCACAAACAGGGCCCAAACAUGAGUGUAGGUGAGUUCAGACUCCAAGUAUGGAUGGGGGCAGAUGCUCCCAUCCAAGCUUCAACCUCAUGCAAAUCCAUGUAUAUCCUCCAACAGGGGCUUCAUGAUGACAUUCUUACAUUUUUAUUACAUAGAAAUGCCAAAAUAGACACAUGCACUCAUCCCUACAUUAGAACAGGUUUCACCAAAUACAAAUGAAUUAGAAAAAAAUCCAUGUGCCAUCACAACUGUUAAUUCAUAUCAGUACAUACCUUGCUAAAUCAAGGCUAAUGCAAAAACAUUCACUGGGCAGUUUCCUAUAUAAGCUGUGAGGGGAGAAGGUCCUCCAGUCUUCUCUAAAUCCUCAUUUUACAUAGAAAAAUGCAUCAGGAAGAAGGGUAAUUUGAACACUCUUUCUUGACAUAGUUUAUGCCUGUGCAGGGAAUUUUUUUAGAAGCAAUACUCAAAUGUAUGAACCCCUACCUAGAAUCGUGCAGCCAUGAAGCCUUGCAACCACAUGAUUCUCGAGACCAUAUUAACUGGUCUUCAGUAAGACUUGAACAUAGGAAGCUGCCUUAGAUGAUCCAUUUAGACUAAUAUUGCCUACUCUGACUUGCAGAGGCUCUCCAGGGUCUCAAUCAAAGGCCCUUUUCGUAGCCUACCUGUCUGGGCUCUUUCAAACUAAGGAUGCUGGAGAUCAAACCUGGAACCUUUUGUAUGAAAGCAUCUGCUCUGCCACAGAGCUAUGUUACAGUUUCCAGUUGACUGGUGAAGAAAACCAGCACCCGCUCUUCCUGGGUACAGGUUUAUGCGCAUAGAGGCAGCCCAAGACCAUUUUGCCUGCUUCGACUCACCUGCUUCUGCACAUUAGAAUUUCCAGCCUAUAACGAUGGAGCAAAAAGGUUAAUAGCAAAGCUUUAAUACAGUAUUAAAAACUGUUUUGCAAUUCCCUGAUGGCCAAGUCUCAUUUAACCACCUUUAAUAGUUCUAGUGCCCCUUGUACCCAUGAUCAAUAGCUUGCAUGAUCUACUAUAUAUAAGGAGAUAGUUGGGAAACUGCAGUUGGAAAACGGUGCCCGUUGUAAAGAGCGGGCAGACUGAGGUUGGAGGGCUGUGCCUCAUUUGCCCUAACAGACUAGCCUCUGGAACAAAUUAGUCCUUCCUAGCUACACCCUUUUCGUGGAUGCACAGUUUGUUUUGGCUGGUUUAAACUCACCAAAACACCUUGGAGACACUGAGGGGGUGCACCCAUCCAGGCAGCAGAGAGAGAGGGGGUAUUUAUGAGAAAACAAGCCCCCCUUGAGCACACUGUGCUUUCUAUGUGGACUCUAUGAUUUGCAUUGUUGUUGUUGUUAUUUAGCAACUCCAGGCUGUGGGAUGUUAGCAUCCAAAAUGCAUAUUUUUUUUUUUUUAAAUUAUUUUUCAGUUUUUCGAAAAUUUACUGAUAUACAAAUCACAAACACACAAAUUGCAUAAAUUUCCCAUAAGCAUAUCCCACCCCUUGUGCUUUCAUUUUCAUUUUUUAAAACUGCAUUUUAUACAUGAAUCCACCUUUAAGCUAUUCUUUUGUUUCUUUUCGUAAUAUGUUUACCUGCUGGUUUUAUGUUAACCCUGCUAAAGAACUUAUUUGGAUACAAGAAUUUUUCAAAUAUUCCACAAAUUUUCCCCAAUCCCCAAAUGCACAUGUAAAAGGUUAAUUUCAAGAGCUGUCAAACUGUGAUUUCCUAUGACUGAGGUAGUUAUUUGCAGUUGGUACAGUUAUGGCAGUUAGCUGAACAGUCUUAACAGAGCAGCGGGUAUUUUAUGUUGUGCUGCUGUUUGCCUCAGAGUUAGUUAGUCUGUAACAGUUUAAUAUAUGUAAGGUGUUUUAACAAUUUAAGAAACAUCCACCUGCACUGUAUAUUUAAUCUGCAACUGCAAGGACACUUAGUAAAAGUUAUUUGUCCUUUAAACUUUGAAAGAGAGUGUAUUGCAUAGUUUUUAUAGGAGGGAAAAGGAGAACUAAUUAACAGGUCAAACGACCCAGGGCUGUCUUCCGCAAAGCUCUGCUAAAUGGGAACUAGAGUUUAAUUCCCACAAAAACAACCUACCAAAAACGAAAAGAAAAAAAAGGACAUACAGUGGUACCUCUGGUUACAUACGCUUCAGGUUACAUACGCUUCAGGUUACAGACUCCGCUAACCCAGAAAUAGUACUUUGGGUUAAGAACUUUGCUUCAGGAUGAGAACAGAAAUAGUGCUCUGGCAGUGCAGCAGCAGCAGCGGGAGGCCCCAUUACCUAAAGUGGUGCUUCAGGUUAAGGACAGUUUCAGGUUAAGAACGGACCUCCGGAAUGAAUUAAGUACUUAACCCGAGGUACCACUGUACAUUAAAACCAAUGCAAAAAACUACAAUGGAGUAAAAGCUAAAAACACAUUCAUAUUAUAAAAAGGCAGGAAUAGACCAUCCCACUUACCGAAGGAAGCCAUAGAUGAUAAAAGGCUGACGGCCUGGAAGAAGAGAAACAUUUCUGUUUGGUGGCUAAAGAUAGGCAAUGAUGGUGCCAGCCUUGCCUCCCUGGGGAGAGUGUUCCAUAAGCAGGAAGCCACCACUGAGAAGGUCCAUUCACAUGUCAACACCCUCUGCACCUACCUUGGAGCGGGCACAAGGAGAAGGCCUUGCAUGAUGAAUGCUGGGUCUGUGUUGGCUCAUGUGGGCUCCUGAGCUACAUAAGGCUUUAUAGGUUAAAAGCAGCACUUUGAGCUGAGCCCAGAAAUUCCAUGGAAGCCAGUGCAGUCAUGCCAGAAGUGGUGUUUUAUGUUCAGACUAUCUUGCGUUGGUCAACAACCCGGCUUCUGAAUUCUCAACCAGCAGCAGUUCCAAAAAUGCCAUCAAGGGCAGCCCCUUGGAUAUUGCAUUGUGGUAAUCUAACCCAAAAGAUACCAGAGCCUAGACUACAGAAGCUAUGCUAUCACAUCCCCCAUCCCCCCUUUUAAAUGUACACACAGAAGCCACAGCCUCGAGGUGGAGGCGCCAGUUUGUCAGAAACAAAGCCUGCAUACGUCAAGGCUACCUGGCUGUGAGCCAGGCAACACCCUCCCAAGGUGCUCCCCCCUCCCAUUGCACACUGACCUUUAAUUAAUUAAAGGAAAGCAUCUAAAACAAAUGAAAAUAAAAGCUCAUUUUGCUGCAAACAACACACUUUUUUUCUAGCUUGGAACUCAUAAUCUCCCUCCUUCUCUUUUGUCAGGAGAAGAAAGACAAGAAACAGCUAAUUUCCAAAUCAGGAAGAAGGCGAAUAUUGUUGGAUCCCACUUGGAGAACGCCAUUACCCAAAUUAAUGCUCCUAAAAUGGACAAGGAACCUGUCCAUUUCUGCUGUUUUCGUAGAGUCUGUCAGCUGUUUUUAGUGUUAUAUAAGCACACAGGCCAUCAGGCUACCUCACUGCUCAGUGAGCAGAGGUGAGGUUCAUGAUUUCAGGCAUUAUUAUAACAUCAAACUGUGUCUCCCUGUAUCAGUCGUCAUAAACAACUGGGGUUCGUCAGCUCAAA